ACCUGCCACCAUGGGACGGCGACGUUCUGUUUUGGCCGAUACCUGAAGACCUGGGAGUCGUUCUAUUCUAUAGUUUAAAUCGUACAACCUCCUUAAUAAUUAGUCUGAAGGGAUCAAUGAUCAUUCUCUAAUCUAUACUCCCAUCCAACGAACCGAGACUUGCAGCCCUGCCUUCUCUCCGUCUCCGUCCCAGCCGGCAUCUCAUCGGAGAAGAAGAGGAUACACCAACCGGGGAUCCUCUCUUUCUUAACCAUCAACAGAGAUCCGACAUGAGCGCCGCCGUCGCCAAUCCCCCGGGAGCCUACUUCGUUGGCCAUCCAACACACCCGGAAGAACAGAAGGAGCCACAUCCCGUUGACAAUCAGAAUGCUGCGAAUGUUCAGGCUUCCGGAACAGGAGCCUACUACUCUGGACAACCACUGGGACUCAACGCGGCUGAUGGUGCCAACGUUCAAGCUUCACGUCACGAUGCUGGUAAUCUGACCGAGCCAAGUGCUGCCAAGAAGAAACGAGGAUCGUUUGCCAAACUCUUCAGUGGGUGCUUCUCCAGCGGUGAAGUUGCCAAGUAGAUCGACGCGUUCCUGCUCCCAGCUUAAUGGAAGAUUUUGCAAAGUGUCAGUCACCGUACCACGUGAUUCUACUGUUUUCUGUGAGAAGAAGAUUGAGAAGUGUCAGACUGUACGAGGAUAAUGAUGCAAAUAUUUGUUUGAGAAGUUUUUUCUUCACACUUACCGCCCUGCUUCAAAUGUUGUAUUUUUCGUGGGACAUAGGCGAUGCUUCAAAUACAUCGUUCCAAAGCGGGACCUAAAUCACCAAUAUGGACAAGAUUAAGCGAAUGAAAGCAUUGCAUA